AUUUGAGGAGCCAGCUGUAUGAGUCGUACUUCCUGAACUUCAUCUCUGCCAUCAGUCGGAGUAAACUGGAGGACAUUGCCAGUGCUGCCCUGGCUGCUAAUGCAGUCAGCCAAGUCACCAAGGUGUUUGAUCAGUACCUGAACUUCAUCACCCUGGAAGAUGACAUGUUCAUCCUCUGCCA